rnacentral:rRNA from 1 species
AGCUUGCUAUCAGGCGUCGAGCGGCGGACGGGUGAGUAAUACUUAGGAAUCUACCUAGUAGUGGGGGAUAGCACGGGGAAACUCGUAUUAAUACCGCAUACGACCUACGGGAGAAAGGGGGCAGUUUACUGCUCUCGCUAUUAGAUGAGCCUAAGUCGGAUUAGCUAGAUGGUGGGGUAAAGGCCUACCAUGGCGACGAUCUGUAGCUGGUCUGAGAGGAUGAUCAGCCACACCGGGACUGAGACACGGCCCGGACUCCUACGGGAGGCAGCAGUGGGGAAUAUUGGACAAUGGGGGAAACCCUGAUCCAGCCAUGCCGCGUGUGUGAAGAAGGCCUUUUGGUUGUAAAGCACUUUAAGCAGUGAAGAAGACUCCGUGGUUAAUACCCACGGACGAUGACAUUAGCUGCAGAAUAAGCACCGGCUAACUCUGUGCCAGCAGCCGCGGUAAUACAGAGGGUGCAAGCGUUAAUCGGAAUUACUGGGCGUAAAGGGAGCGUAGGUGGCUCUAUAAGUCAGAUGUGAAAUCCCCGGGCUCAACCUGGGAACUGCAUCUGAAACUGUAGAGCUAGAGUAUGUGAGAGGAAGGUAGAAUUCCAGGUGUAGCGGUGAAAUGCGUAGAGAUCUGGAGGAAUACCGAUGGCGAAGGCAGCCUUCUGGCAUAAUACUGACACUGAGGCUCGAAAGCGUGGGUAGCAAACAGGAUUAGAUACCCUGGUAGUCCACGCCGUAAACGAUGUCUACUAGUCGUUGGGUCCCUUGAGGACUUAGUGACGCAGCUAACGCAAUAAGUAGACCGCCUGGGGAGUACGGCCGCAAGGUUAAAACUCAAAUGAAUUGACGGGGGCCCGCACAAGCGGUGGAGCAUGUGGUUUAAUUCGAUGCAACGCGAAGAACCUUACCUGGUCUUGACAUAUCUAGAAUCCUGCAGAGAUGCGGGAGUGCCUUCGGG